rnacentral:rRNA from 1 species
GAAAAGAACCCCGGAAGGGGAGUGAAAUAGAACCUGAAACCGUGUGCCUACAACCGAUCGGAGCACGUUAAAGUGUGACGAUGUGCUUUUUGUAGAACGAGCCAGCGAGUUACGCUAUGUAGCAAGGUUAAGUACUUAAGGUAUGGAGCCGAAGGGAAACCGAGUCUGAAAAGGGCGAAAAGUUGCAUGGUGUAGACCCGAAACCGGGUGACCUAUCCAUGGCCAGGUUGAAGCGAGAGUAAAAUCUCGUGGAGGACCGAACCACGUUGGUGUUGAAAAACCAUGGGAUGAGCUGUGGAUAGCGGAGAAAUUCCAAUCGAACUCGGAGAUAGCUGGUUCUCCUCGAAAUAGCUUUAGGGCUAGCGUCGUGUAAUUGAGUAAUGGAGGUAGAGCACUGAAUGGGCUAGGGGCUAUAGUAGUUACCGAACCCUAUCAAACUCCGAAUGCCAUAUACUUGUAUCACGGCAGUCAGACUGCGAAUGAUAAGAUCCGUAGUCAAAAGGGAAACAGCCCAGACCAUCAGCUAAGGUCCCAAAGUGUAAGUUAAGUGGAAAAGGAUGUGGGAUUUCUAAGACAACUAGGAUGUUGGCUUAGAAGCAGCCACUCAUUUAAAGAGUGCGUAAUAGCUCACUAGUCAAGAGAUCCUGCGCCGAAGAUGUCCGGGGCUCAAACUUACCACCGAAGCUAUGGGUGUACACUAUGUGUACGCGGUAGAGGAGCUUUCUGUAUGGGUUGAAGUCGUACCGUAAGGAGCGGUGGACUGUACAGAAGUGAGAAUGCUGGCAUAAGUAGCGAGAAAUAAGUGAGAAUCUUAUUGGCCGAAA